rnacentral:rRNA from 1 species
CCUACGGGGGACUGCAGUCGAGAAUCAUUCACAAUGGGGGAAACCCUGAUGGUGCGACGCCGCGUGGGGGAAUGAAGGUCUUCGGAUGGUAAACCCCUGUCAUGUGGGAGCAAAUUAAAAAGAUAGUACCACAAGAGGAAGAGACGGCUAACUCUGUGCCAGCAGCCGCGGUAAUACAGAGGUCUCAAGCGUUGUUCGGAAUCACUGGGCGUAAAGCGUGCGUAGGCUGUUUCGUAAGUCGUGUGUGAAAGGCGCGGGCUCAACCCGCGGACGGCACAUGAUACUGCGAGACUAGAGUAAUGGAGGGGGAACCGGAAUUCUCGGUGUAGCAGUGAAAUGCGUAGAUAUCGAGAGGAACACUCGUGGCGAAGGCGGGUUCCUGGACAUUAACUGACGCUGAGGCACGAAGGCCAGGGGAGCGAAAGGGAUUAGAUACCCGUGUAGUC